GGAGAGUGCCGUGCCAGCACGAGCAUGAGGGAAUGCUUCUGUGUGUAGCACAGAGGCAGCUGCACCUACACUGACCUGUGCUCCUCAGGCAUCUGUAGCAGAAAUGCUAAGUCACAGCCUGAACCAGUGAUUGAGCACCUGGUGGGAAGGCAGGGCUAACCCAGGGGAGCUCAGGUGCAAGGAAUGCAGCUGAGUUACCACAGGGGGUGGAGCCAGGAUCCACCUCUUCCCAGACCUCCUGUGAUUCUAUCUAUGACCUCAUUUAAGGGUUGGCGGUGGAGGUAAGGGUAUCCUGCUGGAGGUUCCUGCCUACCUGAGGCCUUCCAAGGGAACUCCGGGCUGAUGUGGAGAAGGGCAGGGGAAAAUUGCCUCCCGGAUGAGGUAUACGGCAAGAGCAGGUGUUUGGCAGCGAAGAAGGAGGUUGGAGGAAAUCAGAAGUGUUUCAGCCCCUUGAAGCUUUCUGGUACCUGGAAGCCUCCUCACUUCCACCUAGCGUCUUUCACCACUGCCCAUAGCCACCUGAAGUUCACGUAUGUUACAAUAUCAGGCGUGAGCUGUGCUCCAGCACGCGCUGACGGGAAUAGUCCGAGAAGACUGGCUACAGAAGGCAUUACCUGCCACGUAAGGUAUCUGUGUGACCUUCCUUUCUGAAGAGUGGCUUUUUUUCUUCAACAUUCAUUAUUUCCGAGAGCCCGUGGGCUCGGCAGCAAAUUGCAGUGAUGUUUCAGGAUUGACUGCUUGAAUGUUCUGUUUUUCAGUUUUAGCUGCUAGGGAGGAUUUCAGCAGGUUUUCAGCUAGGUUAGCUGGGCAUCACCGCGCUUCUCUUCUGCAGUGGUCAGGCAGCCCAGCUGAGCUGAUGUUACGUGGUGCCCAACCUUCUUUCAGGUGUCAGCAGAAGCACUGACAACAUCCAAAGAAAUAAGCGCAGACUUGUAUGCCAGAGGAUGGCUCCAGAAAUGGCUUGGUGUUUUAUUAACACAUCAGAAGGCUAUUGCCGUGGAUUUGUUGGUUCUCUGGAUAUACAAAAACUGCUAGAAGAGCCUCUCUGAGGCACCAUCAGAAAACCAGCUCCGUGUGAAAGCAUCUUCGUGGAGAAAGUCUGUCAGCUGCUCAGUAUGGCUUGUUUUCAAAUCUUCUUGAGAACGAACGUUGUUGCUUUUAAUCUACAAGUGGAUGCGGGGUUUAAUAGAGGCUUAAUGCCUGAAUGGCUUGCAGUCUUGUUCAGUCAGCUGUUGAGACGUAAGUAGGAGUAACAGGGAAUUGCAGAGGAGGUGUCCACGUGCAAACCUUGUAAAUCACUGUUUUGGGUGUGUGUGUGUGUGUAAAUUCUUAGAAAGGGGGAAUGAAAAGCAAACAAACAUGAAAACGAGAGUGGAAAAAGUAGUUUUAACACUUCGAUGUCAGCUCCUCCAUCCAGGGAUUUCAUCUGUGCUGCUGCUACUGGCCCAUUUUGGUGCAUAGUAAGAACAAUUCUUCUAGCUGCCAAUCAACCAUUUUCUUUUCGAUAAUUAUUCACAUUGCUGUAGAAACGGAAAUUAUCCCUAUUUUCUCACUUUCCAGUGGAAAACUGUAGUUGCAGCUGCUCCCUCCCCCCGCUUGGAAGUUUUACACGCUAAGAGUCACCAGCCAGCCUUGCCUUAAAUCAAAUCUUCCCAUGCAGCCUGGAUGCAAAUCUAGCAAGCACAGCAGCUGUCUGCUCUUAGCAAGGGGAAAAGCAACACGUUUCUUCAGCCACUGGCUAGGGAACUCCUGCUCAAAAAAGAGGGCUACGCCUUGUCUGAUGCCUUUAUAAAGUUAUAGGAGACAGUUUCCUGCGGGCUUUCACAGAUACUGCUAAUCAUCUUAAACUGAAACAGGGCUUCCAAAAACAGCAUGUAAAUCCCCAUAACACACCUUCAAUUUCUGUCUCCAAGGCUACCCAGCUGCCCUGAUCCUCUGUGACAGGCUCGAAAUGCCAUGAUGCUUCCUUUUGAACUGCUCCUUGCCCACUUUUCAAGCCCUCUUUACUCCCAGACCUCCCCACGGGCAGAAGCCCCGCUAGCUCUUGGCUUGCCUCGCUUGCUGGGGACAAGGAUUCACAGCACUGCUGCCCCGUGCUGGGUGAUGAGCAAUGGGACAUCUGUGUAACAGGGGAUACUAGGCUCUCUACUGUCCUGCAGCUGAGUGGAACUGAUUUCCACAGGGGCAUGAGAAGAGCUGGAGCCCCUGAAUGGUCCUGCCCUGCCCAGUUGUGCUCACCCAUCUGCACAAAGGCUGGGUCCAAAAGGCUCUUUAAAACCAUGUUAAUAGCAUUUUUCAUGCUGCUUUUACUGAACCUCCUCAUUCUGCUCUAAGCCAUGCAGUUCACGAAUGGCAGCUAUUCCCCAGUCAGGGAAGCGCAUUUUGGGGGACACGGUGUACGUAGCCUUACUGGACAUUUUUCAGUGAUUUUAUAUGCAGAUACUGCCUUCUCACAGUGAACCAAAUUCUGCCCUCUCCUGAAGUCUCUUGGGUCUAAAUUAGUGAGACUUUAUACAUACCGUGACUUGAAUCUGAAUGUGCUUCCUUGCUUGCAAUCCCCGUGGUCACGGAGUAGGCAAGGAGACUUUGUGCUGUAGUUUACCUUGCCAUAAGCGGGCUUUUUCGGUCAUCCUGGUGAACCAUGUGAUCAGCAGGCACAUUCCCUGUGUCGUCAAUGUGGGAGCACUUUCUGCAGGAUGCAGGAUUUGCAAAGGCACAAAUGGAUGGGGCAGCGUCCCAGCAACAUGCAGAAUUCCCCAGCCAGUGGCUCAUCUCGCAUCUUCUCUGAGAAGAUAGCACCUGAGGUCCCCCCUGAAACAUUCCCCAGGACUCACGGGAGUGCUGGAUGAGCUGAUGAGGCAUUUGUGCUGCAGACACCCCCAGAGCACUGAAGAGUCAAGAGAAUGAUGCCAGACUAGAAUCAAUGAGGCCUUAUGCGGGCACUCAAGAAUAACAAGCCAACCAGUGGAUUUGCAGGCAGCCUGUAACAGCUUGUUAUCUGAUGUCCCCUGGGCACAAACACUGAGACAUCUGCAGUUUUUGACCCGUUUUUUCCCUCUGCUGGCUCAAUAGCUAGUUAGCCAGUCAUCCAAAGUGGAAAGAAAACAGAGGGAAGAAGAGAACGCAUGCCAGUAAGCAGGAGAAGCUGGAAUAUUGGGAUGCCAAAAGGACUGGAAAUAAAAUAAGAACACAGAUUUCUUUGCUCUCCAUUAUUGUUUGUGCAUCAAGCUCUCUGAGUUUGUUUCUGGAACUCUGUUGAAAGCUUGCCAGUUGUCACUGAACUUUUAUGUUGGUUUAUUUUGCAUGUAUUUUGCAUCUCCAAUUUCUUUGUUUGGCACUGCAAGAUAAAAAUGAACCUGAACAACACACAAUGGGACUUCAUUGAUUGCCUCUGGUCCCUAUAAUCUCUUCCCAUCCCAUGAGAGGCCAGGAGGAGCCCCAGAGGAGGCUGCUGGGUCCUUUGAAAAGAGAUCCUUGGAGCACAGCAACCAUGCCAGCUAACACUGUGCUUCCCUGCUUCCAGGCUCUUGUUACUAAAGGGUGUGCCCAGGCGCUCUGAAGGGGUCAUGAACACCAGCCCCAGCCUAAUCUUCUAAUUAACUCCUGUUAAUGUAAGCGCACUCGAGAAGAUUCUUUUAGCCAUGCUGCUCAAGAAAUUAGAAGUCCUCUCUCAAAGAGAUAGAGUGUUUCUUCGUUUGUAGUUCAGCACGACAACACCAUUUUGCUGCAUGGGAAGUAUUUGCCUCAGCCUGUGGUGCUCAUUUCUCAUCCUUGGAUUACAGUUUAUUGUAAAUCAACUCAGGAUAAUAGGUGGCGGCUCAGUGUAUGUUAUCUGCAGCAUUUUAGCCUUGCAUAGGCAGAGGCCUCCUGGCUUAUUGGUUCUCUAAUUUCCACGCCUUGGAAAAGCCUAAAGAUUGGGGUGUGUGCCUUGCAAUGAUACGUAGGGCUCUGGGACCUACCAGAGAAACAUGCUGCUGCUGCUGCUGCUGCUGCUUCUCUUUUAACCUGAUGCAGCCUCAUCGCAUGGAUGCUCCGCUCAUUGCAGUCAAGGUUAGAAAGGGAUUUGAGCCUCUUUCUGAUGUGGAAAGAAAGUAGUCCCACAGGUAGAAGCACAAAGAACAGCUGAGCUCAGACCAACCUCAGGAAAAAAAAAAAAACAAAGCAAAUUUCCACAAUGGAGUGUAGCUGGACUGCAUCGAGAGAGCGAAUGUGGAGCAGGAUGAGAAUUGUACCUGCCUGUGUUAUAAGCAGAGACUCUGCAGCUCUCCCGACAUCAAUUUUGCCUAGGAGAAUCCAUCCGAAAACAAACAAAUACCAACAGAAAUGCUCCUAUUGUUUUCUUUCUCUGUUGGUAAUGAAAACUAUUCCUUUAAAAAAAAGAGCAAUAUCCUCCCCUAUGAUUUUUGCAGUCACAACACAGAAACGGAGAAAACCUGAAAGCACAAUUGACUCCUUUUGAUUUUUCCUAUUUCAAGAGAGGAGACAUGCCAGCGGGAAAGAGAACAAAAAUCAUGCUGAGUAAAUCUGGAAUUUAAACCGCCACCGAUGAUCAACAGCGACCAUCCAAAUAUUUAUUUCUUCUUCUACAGUUUCUUUCCGUUUAAGCCGAUGAGCAGAUCUUUAAUUUGAUGUUCAGUCAUCCUUACUUAAAGGCAUGUAUCUUUUAGGUCGUUUCUUUAAUUAUUCACUUCUGCAGGAAUUCAGACGGCAAGAUUUGGGGGAUAAUGUAGUCACGUACCGCCUUAGCAUGCUGCUUCUCUUCAAUAAUUUGUCUAUUAGUGACCUCCAUUUGGUACUAGAGAUCAAGUCCUCCUUGCACUGGCCUUGACAAGAAAAUGUCCAACGGAUUGAGCAAGGUGUUGGCUUUAUCCCUACUGCACGUGCCAUGGCAGAGCUGCCACAACAUCUAAUGCCAGAUCUCUAUUACCUAGACAGUGCUUUGAAAUACGGCUCUGUGUAUGGGAUACAGUCCCAGUUUCAAGCAAGAAGCAAGGGAGGGACUCCAGCUCUGCUGCUGGAAGCAUACAAGCGAGGCAUGAAGCAGGGAGAUGUCCUCCUGACUGCCUAGCAGGCUGGAUAAGUUUCUGUGUGUAGUUUGCUCGUGUAGCAUCGGCGAUGUGUGCAAUCUGCAGCCACUCGCAGGUCUCCGCAACCUGCCUGCUUCCCAGUUAUCGUGGCUGCAGACCACCAUAAGCAUUUCUGCAGGCAAGCUUCUAAGGUCAUGCUGCUAAACCUCCAUAUAUGCGCUGAAAUAUCAUGAUACAUGGGUUUGGUUUUUUUUUCUCUCCUUGCGUGUUUAGUGCUUUAAAAUUCCAUCCAGUUCAACAAGAGCUCAGCAUGUAAUAUAAAGCAGCUGUUUAUGGGUGCUUAAGUACAGAGUUAAGAACCAAACUUCAGGCAGCCAGAUUUGAAAAGCGUAGUCAGUCCUUAAAUGAUGUGCUCUGCUGAAAGGGGUCUACUCUAAAAAUGCUCAUGAAGUGUGAGGGUUUAUGAUGGAAAGGAACCUGUAGCAAGCAGCGUGUUUGCUUCCCACUUUUCCUAGGUUUCAUUAUGCCUUCCUGCCUCACAGAACAGCUGUAACAUUAAACCCAUUGAAAUCUGUAAAGUGCUCAGAGAUCUACUGAAGGGAGGCAGGACAGAAGUAAAAGGUACUCAAUUUUCAUCGCGUUUUAUCAGGCAAGAGAGUUUCCCGAAUGUCUUCGUAACAAAUAAGAAUAAAUAGCUGCACAUGUAAAAUGUAUCCUGCGCUCACUAAUAGGUAUCUUCCGGGCAGUGGUUGAGGAGAAUCUCUAUUUAAGAACAGCGUAGAUCUGAAGACUUGAAUUCAUUUUUCAAUACCUUUCUUAGGGCCAUAGCCUUAUGCACUUCACUAGUGCAUGAAUACUAUCCAAAUCUACUGGCAUUCGAGUAAUAGUGGCAAAUAGUUUGAUUGUUUUCUCCUGUCAAAUUUCUACUAGAUUUUCAAAUAAAUCACUCACAAACGUUGUUGUUUUUUUUUUUUUCCUCAUGACUUGGUUACCUCAAUAGCCAGCUGAAUAAUAUUCAUCAAAUAAAUUACUUAUUUUUUUUCCCAUCAAUCUGCAAAUAAUUAAUUCACAGGUACUUUUUACAUGAAGCAGUCAGCUCUAGCCAGGGCAAAUCAAGGUAAUUUCCUGCUCUUUUGAUCAAAUGCCAGCAGGACUUUAUCUUGGACAGCUCAAUAGACACAGGUUUUAAUGCAUAAUACAUAAUGGGUAAGCUGAGUUUUUCACAGUUCUUUGAGAGCUCUCUGCUAUUGCCCAUAUUUCUGUUCAGCUACCGAGAGAGGCCUGACAAGGG
ensembl:lncRNA